UACGUAGGGUGCAAGCGUUGUCCGGAAUUACUGGGCGUAAAGAGUGUGUAGGCGGUGCUCUAAGUUCGGUGUGAAAUCUCCUGGCUCAACUGGGAGCUUGCAGGCGAAACUGCCGUGCUGGAGUGUGGGAGAGGUGAGUGGAAUUCCCGGUGUAGCGUUGAAAUGCGUAGAUAUCGGGAGGAACACCUGUGGCGAAAGCGGCUCACUGGACCACAACUGACGCUGAGGCGCGAAAGCUAGGGGAGCAAACAGG
rnacentral:rRNA from 1 species